AACGAACGCUGGCGGCAUGCCUUACACAUGCAAGUCGAACGACACCUUCGGGUCUAGUGUCGCACGGGUUCGUAACGCGUUGGAACCUGCCCUUAGGUUCGGCCUAACUCCCCGAAAGGGGUGCUAAUACCGGAUUUUGUCUUCGGUCCAAAGGUUUAUUGCCUUUGGAUGGGCCCGCGUUGUAUUAGCUUGUUGGUAGGGUAAAAGCCUACCAAUGCUACGAUCCAUAGCUGGUCUGAGAGGAUGAUCAGCGACACUGGGACUGAGACACGGCCCAGAAUCCUACGGGAGGCAGGAGAGGGGAAUAUUGGAAAAUGGGGGAAAGCAAGAACGAGCAAUGCCGGGUGAGUGAUGAAGGUCUGAGGGUUGUAAAGCUCGUUAACACGGGAUGAGAAUGACAGUACCGGGAGAAUAAGCUCCGGCUAACUCCGUG
rnacentral:rRNA from 1 species